UACGGGGGGGGCAAGCGUUGUUCGGAAUUACUGGGCGUAAAGGGCUCGUAGGUGGCCAACUAAGUCAGACGUGAAAUCCCCAGGCUCAACUUGGGAACUGCGUCUGAUACUGGAUGACUUGAAUUCGGGAGAGGGAUGCAGAAUUCCAGGUGUAGCGGUGAAAUGCGUAGAUAUCUGGAGGAAUACCGGUGGCGAAGGCGGCAUCCUGGACCGAGAUUGACACUGAUGAGCGAAAGCUAGGGGAGCAAACGGG
rnacentral:rRNA from 1 species